rnacentral:rRNA from 1 species
UUAACCGAAUAGGGGAGCCGGAGGGAAACCGAGUCUUAAUUGGGCGUUAAGUUGCAGGGUAUAGACCCGAAACCCGGUGAUCUAGCCAUGGGCAGGUUGAAGGUUGGGUAACACUAACUGGAGGACCGAACCGACUAAUGUUGAAAAAUUAGCGGAUGACCUGUGGCUGGGGGUGAAAGGCCAAUCAAACCGGGAGAUAGCUGGUUCUCCCCGAAAGCUAUUUAGGUAGCGCCUCGUGAAUUCAUCUCCGGGGGUAGAGCACUGUUUCGGCUAGGGGGCCAUCCCGACUUACCAACCCGAUGCAAACUGCGAAUACCGAAGAAUGUUAUCACGGGAGACACACGGCGGGUGCUAACGUCCGUCGUGAAGAGGGAAACAACCCAGACCGCCAGCUAAGGUCCCAAAGUCAUGGUUAAGUGGGAAACGAUGUGGGAAGGCCCAGACAGCCAGGAUGUUGGCUUAGAAGCAGCCAUCAUUUAAAGAAAGCGUAAUAGCUCACUGGUCGAGUCGGCCUGCGCGGAAGAUGUAACGGGGCUAAACCAUGCACCGAAGCUGCGGCAGCGACGCUGAUGCGUUGUUGGGUAGGGGAGCGUUCUGUAAGCCUGUGAAGGUGGCCUGUGAGGGUUGCUGGAGGUAUCAGAAGUGCGAAUGCUGACAUAAGUAACGAUAAAGCGGGUGAAAAGCCCGCUCGCCGGAAGACCAAGGGUUCCUGUCCAACGUUAAUCGGGGCAGGGUGAGUCGACCCCUAAGGCGAGGCCGAAAGGCGUAGUCGAUGGGAAACGGGUUAAUAUUCCCGUACUUGGUGUUACUGCGAAGGGGGGACGGAGAAGGCUAUGUUGGCCGGGCGACGGUUGUCCCGGUUUAAGCGUGUAGGCUGGUUUUCCAGGCAAAUCCGGAAAAUCAAGGCUGAGGCGUGAUGACGAGGC